rnacentral:rRNA from 1 species
GACCUGAUGGAGCUUUAAACACUUAAGUUAUUAUUAACAUAACCCAUCUCUCCCAAGGACAUAAUACAACCACUUAAUUUCAUAACUUAACCUGUUUUUGGUUGGGGCGACCGAGGGGAAAAACAAAACCCCCUUAUCGAAUACGUGAAAAAUCACCUAAAAAUUAGAGCCACAACUCUAAUUAAUAGAAAAUCUAACGAAAAAUGACCCAGAAGUCUCACACUUCCGAUCAAUGAACCAAGUUACCCUAGGGAUAACAGCGCAAUCCUUUCCCAGAGCCCCCAUCGCCGAAAGGGUUUACGACCUCUGAUGUUGGAUCAGGACAUCCUAAUGGUGCAGCUGCUAUAAGGGUCGUUGUCAGCGUACUU